rnacentral:rRNA from 1 species
UUAAGUUAUUAAGGGCGCACGGUGGAUGCCUUGGCACUAGAAGCCGAUGAAGGACGUUACUAACGACGAUAUGCUUUGGGGAGCUGUAAGUAAGCUUUGAUCCAGAGAUUUCCGAAUGGGGAAACCCAGCAUGAGUUAUGUCAUGUUAUCGAUAUGUGAAUACAUAGCAUAUCAGAAGGCACACCCGGAGAACUGAAACAUCUUAGUACCCGGAGGAAGAGAAAGAAAAUUCGAUUCCCUUAGUAGCGGCGAGCGAAACGGGAAGAGCCCAAACCAACAAGCUUGCUUGUUGGGGUUGUAGGACACUCUAUACGGAGUUACAAAGGACGACAUUAGACGAAUCAUCUGGAAAGAUGAAUCAAAGAAGGUAAUAAUCCUGUAGUCGAAAAUGUUGUCUCUCUUGAGUGGAUCCUGAGUACGACGGAGCACGUGAAAUUCCGUCGGAAUCUGGGAGGACCAUCUCCUAAGGCUAAAUACUCUCUAGUGACCGAUAGCGAACCAGUACCGUGAGGGAAAGGUGAAAAGCACCCCGGAAGGGGAGUGAAAUAGAACCUGAAACCGUGUGCUUACAAGUAGUCAGAGCCCGUUAAUGGGUGAUGGCGUGCCUUUUGUAGAAUGAACCGGCGAGUUACGAUUUGAUGCAAGGUUAAGCAGUAAAUGUGGAGCCGUAGCGAAAGCGAGUCUGAAUAGGGCGUUUAGUAUUUGGUCGUAGACCCGAAACCAGGUGAUCUACCCUUGGUCAGGUUGAAGUUCAGGUAACACUGAAUGGAGGACCGAACCGACUUACGUUGAAAAGUGAGCGGAUGAACUGAGGGUAGCGGAGAAAUUCCAAUCGAACCUGGAGAUAGCUGGUUCUCUCCGAAAUAGCUUUAGGGCUAGCCUCAAGUGAUGAUUAUUGGAGGUAGAGCACUGUUUGGACGAGGGGCCCCUCUCGGGUUACCGAAUUCAGACAAACUCCGAAUGCCAAUUAAUUUAACUUGGGAGUCAGAACAUGGGUGAUAAGGUCCGUGUUCGAAAGGGAAACAGCCCAGACCACCAGCUAAGGUCCCAAAAUAUAUGUUAAGUGGAAAAGGAUGUGGCGUUGCCCAGACAACUAGGAUGUUGGCUUAGAAGCAGCCAUCAUUUAAAGAGUGCGUAAUAGCUCACUAGUCGAGUGACACUGCGCCGAAAAUGUACCGGGGCUAAACAUAUUACCGAAGCUGUGGAUUGUCCUUUGGACAAUGGUAGGAGAGCGUUCUAAGGGCGUUGAAGCAUGAUCGUAAGGACAUGUGGAGCGCUUAGAAGUGAGAAUGCCGGUGUGAGUAGCGAAAGACGGGUGAGAAUCCCGUCCACCGAUUGACUAAGGUUUCCAGAGGAAGGCUCGUCCGCUCUGGGUUAGUCGGGUCCUAAGCUGAGGCCGACAGGCGUAGGCGAUGGAUAACAGGUUGAUAUUCCUGUACCACCUAUAAUCGUUUUAAUCGAUGGGGGGACGCAGUAGGAUAGGCGAAGCGUGCGAUUGGAUUGCACGUCUAAGCAGUAAGGCUGAGUAUUAGGCAAAUCCGGUACUCGUUAAGGCUGAGCUGUGAUGGGGAGAAGACAUUGUGUCUUCGAGUCGUUGAUUUCACACUGCCGAGAAAAGCCUCUAGAUAGAAAAUAGGUGCCCGUACCGCAAACCGACACAGGUAGUCAAGAUGAGAAUUCUAAGGUGAGCGAGCGAACUCUCGUUAAGGAACUCGGCAAAAUGACCCCGUAACUUCGGGAGAAGGGGUGCUCUUUAGGGUUAACGCCCAGAAGAGCCGCAGUGAAUAGGCCCAAGCGACUGUUUAUCAAAAACACAGGUCUCUGCUAAACCGUAAGGUGAUGUAUAGGGGCUGACGCCUGCCCGGUGCUGGAAGGUUAAGAGGAGUGGUUAGCUUCUGCGAAGCUACGAAUCGAAGCCCCAGUAAACGGCGGCCGUAACUAUAACGGUCCUAAGGUAGCGAAAUUCCUUGUCGGGUAAGUUCCGACCCGCACGAAAGGCGUAACGAUUUGGGCACUGUCUCAACGAGAGACUCGGUGAAAUCAUAGUACCUGUGAAGAUGCAGGUUACCCGCGACAGGACGGAAAGACCCCGUGGAGCUUUACUGUAGCCUGAUAUUGAAAUUCGGCACAGCUUGUACAGGAUAGGUAGGAGCCUUUGAAACGUGAGCGCUAGCUUACGUGGAGGCGCUGGUGGGAUACUACCCUAGCUGUGUUGGCUUUCUAACCCGCACCACUUAUCGUGGUGGGAGACAGUGUCAGGCGGGCAGUUUGACUGGGGCGGUCGCCUCCUAAAAGGUAACGGAGGCGCUCAAAGGUUCCCUCAGAAUGGUUGGAAAUCAUUCAUAGAGUGUAAAGGCAUAAGGGAGCUUGACUGCGAGACCUACAAGUCGAGCAGGGUCGAAAGACGGACUUAGUGAUCCGGUGGUUCCGCAUGGAAGGGCCAUCGCUCAACGGAUAAAAGCUACCCCGGGGAUAACAGGCUUAUCUCCCCCAAGAGUUCACAUCGACGGGGAGGUUUGGCACCUCGAUGUCGGCUCAUCGCAUCCUGGGGCUGUAGUCGGUCCCAAGGGUUGGGCUGUUCGCCCAUUAAAGCGGUACGCGAGCUGGGUUCAGAACGUCGUGAGACAGUUCGGUCCCUAUCCGUCGUGGGCGUAGGAAAUUUGAGAGGAGCUGUCCUUAGUACGAGAGGACCGGGAUGGACAUACCUCUGGUGUACCAGUUGUCGUGCCAACGGCAUAGCUGGGUAGCUAUGUGUGGACGGGAUAAGUGCUGAAAGCAUCUAAGCAUGAAGCCCCCCUCAAGAUGAGAUUUCCCAACUUCGGUUAUAAGAUCCCUCAAAGAUGAUGAGGUUAAUAGGUUCGAGGUGGAAGCAUGGUGACAUGUGGAGCUGACGAAUACUAAUCGAUCGAAGACUUAAUCAA